UUCUUGAUCUUUGCUAU
rnacentral:sRNA from 1 species